CAACAUGUCACAGUCUUUCCUCA
rnacentral:miRNA from 10 species